AGAGUUUGAUCCUGGCUCAGGAUGAACGCUGGCGGUAUGCUUAACACAUGCAAGUCAAACGGAGUGCUUCGGCACUUAGUGGCGGACGGGUGAGUAACGCGUGAGAAUCUGGCUUCGGGUUCGGGACAACAGUGGGAAACUGCUGCUAAUACCGGAUGUGCCUAAAGGUAAAAGAUUAAUUGCCCGAAGAUGAGCUCGCGUCCGAUUAGCUAGUUGGUGUGGUAAGAGCGCACCAAGGCGUUGAUCGGUAGCUGGUCUGAGAGGACGAUCAGCCACACUGGGACUGAGACACGGCCCAGACUCCUACGGGAGGCAGCAGUGGGGAAUUUUCCGCAAUGGGCGAAAGCCUGACGGAGCAAUACCGCGUGAGGGAGGAAGGCUCUUGGGUUGUAAACCUCUUUUCUCAGGGAAGAACAAAAUGACGGUACCUGAGGAAUCAGCAUCGGCUAACUCCGUGCCAGCAGCCGCGGUAAUACGGAGGAUGCAAGCGUUAUCCGGAAUGAUUGGGCGUAAAGCGUCCGCAGGUGGCUUAUCAAGUCGAUUGUCAAAGGUCCUGGCUCAACUGGGAACAGGCAGUGGAAACUGAAAAGCUAGAGUGCGGUAGGGGUAGAGGGAAUUCCCGGUGUAGCGGUGAAAUGCGUAGAGAUCGGGAAGAACACCAGUGGCGAAAGCGCUCUACUAGGCCUGCACUGACACUCAUGGACGAAAGCUAGGGGAGCGAAUGGGAUUAGAUACCCCAGUAGUCC
rnacentral:rRNA from 1 species